rnacentral:rRNA from 1 species
AUUGAACGCUGUCGGCAUGCUUUACACAUGCAAGUCGAACGGCAGCACAAACUUCGGUUUGGUGGCGAGUGGCGAACGGGUGAGUAAUGCAUCGGAACGUGUCCUGAAGUGGGGGAUAACGCAUCGAAAGAUGCGCUAAUACCGCAUAAUCUCUGAGGAGAAAAGUGGGGGAUCGAAAGACCUCAUGCUUUUGGAGCGGCCGAUGUCUGAUUAGCUAGUUGGUCGGGUAAUGGCCUACCAAGGCGACGAUCAGUAGUUGGUCUGAGAGGAUGGCCAACCACACUGGGACUGAGACACGGCCCAUACUCCUACGCGAGGCAGCAGUGGAGAAUUUUGGGCAAUGGGCGAAAGCCUGAUCCAGCAAUGCCGCGUGAGUGAAGAAGGCCUUCGGGUUGUAAAGCUCUUUCAGUUGAGAAUAAAAAAUUGUGACUAAUACUUGCAAUUCAUGACAGUAUCAACAGAAGAAGCACCGGCUAACUACGUGCCAGCCGCCGCCGUAA